rnacentral:tRNA from 1 species
AUUUAAAUAGCUUAAGAGUUAGAGCAUAAUAUUGAAAGUAUUAAAGUAAUAGAAAUAUUUUUAAAUA